rnacentral:rRNA from 1 species
AUUGAACGCUGGCGGCAGGCCUAACACAUGCAAGUCGAACGAGUGGCGGACGGGUGAGUAAUGUCUGGGAAACUGCCUGAUGGAGGGGGAUAACUACUGGAAACGGUAGCUAAUACCGCAUACCAUCGGAUGUGCCCAGAUUGGAUUAGCUAGUAGGUGGGGUAAAGGCUCACCUAGGCGACGCUCCAUAGCUGGUCUGAGCGGAUGACCAGCAAACCGGGAACUGGGACACGGUCCAGACUCCGACGGGAGGCAGAAGUGGGUAAUAUUGCACAAAGGGCGCGAGCCUGAUGCAGCCAUGCCGCGUGUAUGAAGAAGGCCUGCGGGUUGUAAAGUACUUUCAGCGGGGAGGCGUUACCCGCAGAAGAAGCACCGGCUAACUCCGUGCCAGCAGCCGCGGUAAUC